UGCAGUCCGAGCGGAUGACGGGAGCUUGCUCCUUGAUUCAGCGGCGGACGGGUGAGUAAUGCCUAGGAAUCUGCCUGGUAGUGGGGGACAACGUUUCGAAAGGAACGCUAAUACCGCAUACGUCCUACGGGAGAAAGCAGGGGACCUUCGGGCCUUGCGCUAUCAGAUGAGCCUAGGUCGGAUUAGCUUGUUGGUGAGGUAAUGGCUCACCAAGGCGACGAUCCGUAACUGGUCUGAGAGGAUGAUCAGUCACACUGGAACUGAGACACGGUCCAGACUCCUACGGGAGGCAGCAGUGGGGAAUAUUGGACAAUGGGCGAAAGCCUGAUCCAGCCAUGCCGCGUGUGUGAAGAAGGUCUUCGGAUUGUAAAGCACUUUAAGUUGGGAGGAAGGGCAGUAAGUUAAUACCUUGCUGUUUUGACGUUACCGACAGAAUAAGCACCGGCUAACUCUGUGCCAC
rnacentral:rRNA from 1 species